UGGGGAAUAUUGCACAAUGGGCGCAAGCCUGAUGCAGCCAUGCCGCGUGUAUGAAGAAGGCCUUCGGGUUGUAAAGUACUUUCAGCGGGGAGGAAGGGAGUAAAGUUAAUACCUUUGCUCAUUGACGUUACCCGCAGAAGAAGCACCGGCUAACUCCGUGCCAGCAGCCGCGGUAAUACGGAGGGUGCAAGCGUUAAUCGGAAUUACUGGGCGUAAAGCGCACGCAGGCGGUUUGUUAAGUCAGAUGUGAAAUCCCCGGGCUCAACCUGGGAACUGCAUCUGAUACUGGCAAGCUUGAGUCUCGUAGAGGGGGGUAGAAUUCCAGGUGUAGCGGUGAAAUGCGUAGAGAUCUGGAGGAAUACCGGUGGCGAAGGCGGCCCCCUGGACGAUGACUGACGCUCAGGUGCGAAAGCGUGGGGAGCAAACAGG
rnacentral:rRNA from 2 species